GCCUGGGUGGCUCAGUCGGUUAAGCGUCUAACUUCGGCUCAGGUCAUGAUCUCACAGUUCGUGAGUUCAAGCCCCACAUCAGGCU
rfam:Felis catus isolate Cinnamon breed Abyssinian chromosome A1, whole genome shotgun sequence.